GUCUUGUAAUUGGAAUGAUGGUGACCUAAACCCUCACCAGAGUAACAAUUGGAGGGCAAGUCUGGUGCCAGCAGCCGCGGUAAUUCCAGCUCCAAUAGCGUAUAUUAAACUUGUUGCAGUUAAAAAGCUCGUAGUUGAAUUUCUGCGUUAUCGAGUUAUUGACUCUUGUCUUUAAUCGAUUUCGCUUUUGGGAUUUAUCCCUUUUUACUUUGAGAAAAUUAGAGUGUUUCAAGCAGACUUUUGUCUUGAAUACUUCAGCAUGGAAUAAUAGAGUAGGACUUUGGUUCUAUUUUGUUGGUUUUUGAACCUUAGUAAUGGUUAAUAGGAACGGUUGGGGGCAUUCGUAUUUAACUGUCAGAGGUGAAAUUCUUAGAUUUGUUAAAGACGAACUACUGCGAAAGCAUUUGCCAAGGACGUUUCCAUUAAUCAAGAACGAAAGUUAGGGGAUCGAAGACGAUCAGAUACCGUCGUAGUCCU
rnacentral:rRNA from 1 species